rnacentral:rRNA from 1 species
CCUACGGGAGGCAGCAGUAGGGAAUAUUGCUCAAUGGGGGAAACCCUGAAGCAGCAACGCCGCGUGGAGGAUGACGGUUUUCGGAUUGUAAACUCCUUUUGUUAGAGAAGAUAAUGACGGUAUCUAACGAAUAAGCACCGGCUAACUCCGUGCCAGCAGCCGAGGUAAUACGGAGGGUGCACGCGUUACUCGGAAUCACUGGGCGUAAAGAGCGCGUAGGCGGGAUAGCAAGUCAGAUGUGAAAUCCUAUGGCCUAACCAUAGUACUGCAUUUGACACUGUUAGUCUAGAGUAUGGGAGAGGUAGGUGGAAUUCGUGGUGUAGGGGUAAAAUGCAUAGAGAUCAAGAAGAAUACUCAUUGCGAAGGCGACCUGCUAGAACAUAACUGACGCUGAUGCGCGAAAGCGUGGGGAGCAAACAGGAUUAGAUACCCGAGUAGUC